CUCACUGAUCGUCGUUCUCCUCCUUCGUAUCGAUCCCAGCCGCCAUAAAGGGGAAAAAAAAGUGGUUCAAUGUCAUCUUUGUAUGUAAACGUUGUCUGCGUACGAGAAGGAGGAGGGGAGAUGAUGGCAGCCGACGCACCAUAGCGCCUACUUUGAAUCUAUUUUCGUCCUUGUUUUAUUAUUUUUUAACGUUUUUUUUCCCUUUUUCUGUCCGCCUUUGGUGACGUUUUUUUAUUUUUUAUUGUAUUUUCUGCGGGCCUGCAUGUGGUGACUGGCGGGAAUGUGUGACGGCCAUGCUGGCGGUGCGGUGCUUCUUGCUCUUUGCUGCAGUGGGCGAUCGGCUGACGGUGUCAGGUUUAAACGGGAGCCCAGGUCAGGAUGAAGCCACCUGGGAUUGGUCCUCCCGGUCCGGACAGAGGACAGAGGGCAGCGACACAGCGGCCCAGGUGACCUAUCCCAAGCGUCUGGUGCAGAGGACUGAGUCGGAGCAGGAAAUGGCUCACGAGCACCUGGACACCCGUGUGAAAAAUAACACGGGACACACCUCGGACGUUCACUUGGCGCAGAGCUGUUUCCAGGUGGAAGCCUUUGGACGUGCCUUCACGCUGGACCUGGAACUAAACCAUCACCUGCUGUCCUCGGACUACGUAGAGCGCCAUUUUACACCGGAGAGCCGACCCUUGCAGUCACUGGGAGGGGAGCUCUGCUACUACCAGGGAAGGUUAAGAGGUGUGCCGGAGUCCUGGGCGGCUCUCUCCACCUGCCACGGCCUCUGUGGGAUGUUCUCAGACGGCGUCUUCUCUUAUGGGAUUGAGCCUUUUCACAAUGACAGCAAUGAGGAAAAUGGCGCCCACUUGAUCCACAGGAUGUCAGAUUUCAGGCUCUUCCCCCAUUGCGCGGACUGCGCAGAGGACGACAGCGAGUGGGAUAGCAGAGGAGGUGGCAAAGACCAAAGGGGGACGCUGCAGCAGCAGGAGGAGGCGUCAGGAGCGCUGAGGCGAUCCAAGCGGUUUGUUCGCAGACCCUCCGUGCACACCGAGACCAAAUAUAUCGAGUUGAUGGUGGUCAACGACAACGACAUGAUUGUACAGCUGCGACGCUCCGGCAGCCAAACAAAAAACUUUGCCAAAGCGGUGGUCAACAUGGCGGACGCGAUCUUACGGGAGCAACUGAACACGAGGAUCGUGCUGGUCGCCAUGGAGACGUGGACCUCAAAAAACAUGGUGCCGGUGGUGGAGGACCCACUGACCACGCUGCAGAACUUCAUGAAGUACAAGCGGGACAACAUCCGGGAGCAGAGUGACGUUGUCCAACUUUUCUCAGGACGUACGUUUCAGAGCGGCCGCAGCGGCACGGCGUACACGGGAGGAGUGUGUUCACCGACGAGGGGAGGGGGAAUCAAUGAGUUUGGCAGUGUCGGCGCCAUGGCCAUCACUUUGUGCCAAAGCCUGGGCCAGAACAUUGGGAUGAGGUGGAACAAUGCACGCAACUCUGCAGGAGACUGCAGGUGUCCUGAUACCUGGCUGGGCUGCAUUAUGGAGGACACUGGAUACUAUCUGCCCAGAAAGUUCUCCCGCUGCAGCGUGGACGAGUACAUCCAGUUCUUGCUCCAGGGGGGCGGCAGCUGCCUCUUCAACAAACCCAACAAGUUGUUGGACCCUCCAGAAUGCGGCAACGGCUUUGUGGAACCUGGCGAAGAGUGUGAUUGUGGAUCCCAGGUGGAGUGCGCCCGCAGCGGAGGAGCCUGCUGUAAAAAAUGCACACUCACCCACGACGCUAUGUGCAGCAAUGGACUGUGCUGCAGUGGCUGCAAGUACGAGCUGAGAGGCGUGGUUUGUCGAGAGGCGGUCAGUGACUGCGACAUCGCAGAGACCUGCACUGGAGACUCUAGCCAGUGUCCUCAUAACGUCCACAAGCUGGAUGGCUACAGGUGUGAAACUAAUCAAGGCCGCUGUUAUGGCGGACGAUGUCGCACUCGAGAUGGACAGUGUAGGGGACUCUGGGGUUUUAACUCGGCAGACAGGUUUUGUUACGAGAAGCUUAACGCCGAAGGGACGGACAAAGGCAACUGCGGACGGGGCCCCGGCGGCCAAGGCUGGCUUCAGUGCAACAAGCCGGACGUUUUGUGCGGCUUCUUGUUCUGCGCCAACAUCAGCACAAAGCCCAAAUUUGGGGACCUUCAAGGCGAGGUGACCAGCUUCACCCUCUACCACCAGAACAAGUACCUGGACUGUCGGGGCGGCCACGCUGUGCUGGAGGACGGUUCGGACCUGGGCUACGUGGAGGACGGCGCCCCCUGCGGGCCCAACAUGAUGUGCUUGGAGCGACGCUGCCUCCCGGCGGCGGCCUUCAACCUCAGCAGCUGCGCGGGGUCCAACUGGGGACGCAUCUGCUCCGACCACGGGACGUGCAGCAACGAGGUGAAGUGCAUCUGCGACAGGGACUACACGGGCAAGGACUGCAGCGUCUUUGAUCCCAUACCCGAGCCCACCGUCCCGACGGGCCUGGGAAAAAAAGGUCCCAGUGGCACCAAUAUCAUAAUAGGCUCCAUCGCAGGUGCUAUUCUCCUGGCAGCUAUAGUCCUAGGGGGGACAGGAUGGGGAUUUAAGUAAGAGUUCUGGCAUGCGUUUGUCCUUCCUGUCUGCUUCCACGCUGCUCAGCAAGCUUGCCCGGCUCAUUCUGGGGAGAACACACACACUUGUAUGGUUCAAGGUUAUUCUAGUCUGCCAGGGAUCAUCGCAGCACUACCCCUUCGCUUAGGCCAGAUGCUCUCCUCAUCUGUGCAUGCUUCUCGCUUCUCGUCUCCGUUGACACUCUGGCCUAAAAGGACUGACUCCCUUGAACAUUUACAGCAGCCCGAUUGGUUAAAAAGAAUCAGAAACACAAUUGAAGGAAUCCUUUUAGGGUCAGAGAAACAUACGGAGAGGAAGAUCUGGUGGAGGAUAAGACGACCAUCAUCUGUCUCUGUG